CACUGCAAGCAUCCCAGUGCCUGGGUACCAGCAGGUCACAUGCUGCUUCCCUGCUGGGAAUCCGGUGCUCCUGCUUCCUUCUGCUCCCAGCCUGGCACCCGGCUUGCUUCUCUGUGUGGACGUUGGAAAUCAGUGGCCGACUUGUUUUGCCCACUGCCCUGCUGGCGUCGUCAAUACUUGGAGGAGGAGCUGAUCAGAAACACUGCUGGCUAAUGAAAAAAGCGUAACAUCUUGCAUCCGCUUGCUUUUGUGUCACGGGGCUGAUGUCCCACUGAGACAUCUGUUCAGCUCCUGCACAAACCCUGCUCAAUAUUGAUCUCCCUACCGGGGAAGCCGACUGAACGCACGCUGCGCCCGCAGGGAAACGCACGUGAGGUGAAGGCAGACCCCGGCGGCGGCCGGGCAGGACCCAUGCAGGGGGUGCUGUGGCUGCGAGGCUGCGCUCAGCUCCUCGGCAAACCCCCAGCCCCGGAAGCCUCCCAGCCUCGAGAUUGAGGCCCGUCGGACGCACGGACCGAGCGCUGCCGCAGAAACCACCGGGAGGUGGCGCCGGAGCUCCGCGGCAAUGCCCGGUGCUGUCGGGGCGGCCCCGCCGGCUCCCGGUGCGCGGCUCUCCGGGCGCUGCCUCUCGGUUUCCUCCGCUCUGCUGCUGCCCGGAGGGGUGAUGGAACCGCCGCCACCAUUUGCAGAGGGCAGCCUGAUUUUUCAAGGAGCGUUUUCACUGUUCCAGGAAGAUGCAAAGCAUAUCGGUAGGGUUUAGCUGGGGGAACUGUUAGCAUCUGCCACUGACAAGAGGGGAUCCCUACCUGUGCAGUUCCAUUUGGAGCAGUGUCACAGUGGAUGGUCAUUGAGUGGCAGCUCCCCCCACCAGAGCCCACAGUUUCAAGCUCACAUACCUUGCUGAGAUAAGCUCUUUCUGCCAAACCUGCUGUUUGGCCUCAGCUUAUUUUUCCAUAUCUUGAGAGGACAGGAAUGAAACAGGACAUAUGGGGCUGCAGCAGUGUGAGUUCCGCAGGCACAGAUGCAGCACGAGGAUAAGGUUCUGCUGCCAGCCCUGGGCUGCACUCAGAGUCCACCCCCAGGAUACCUUCUGGUGAAAGGAGGACGCUUUUGGGGUGAACUCAAUGCCUCUUUCAAGUGGACAAUGGUCUGGAAUUACCACGGGAGGGUUAAACUCAACACAGGAUGGUGCACCCAUGGAGGAAAUGUGGCCCACGUCUGAGUCAGAGGGCUCAGUUGGACUCUGCAUGCACACCCAGCCCUGGACUUCAGUUUCAAGGAAGCCUUUCACAUGAUGCUGUAUCUGCCCCUUGCCUAGGUUCAAUUAGAAGCAUUUCCCUCUUACCUCACAUUCUCCUCAGAAUUUUGCUCUGUCUCUAACCUGGUUUUGCACAAACUGCAGAAGACUUUUGUGUCAGAGGAAAUCCUGUUCAGCUCUCUGUGGCACAGGUGGCACGACACGGUAAAGGGUGCCUUCAAGUCCUGCUUGGACAUCCUCACCCCCUACGGCAGCCAGCACCGCACAGCAGAGGCUGUAAGGGAGGAGGUGGGAAGGUUCAACACAGCAGUGGCUUCUUGGCAUCGCUUGGCCCCAAGAACCACCUGAGCCCACCUUGUUUCCCUUUACAGAGUGAGAAAUGGGGCCAUAUCUUUCUAAACACCCAGGUGCUGGGCAGCACUGAGCAGCCUGUGCCUACCACUGAUUCUGGGACCACACAAAGAUGUCCCCAUUCCUGUGGCACCCAAGGAUCAUCCCAAUGACCAUAGCCAGCAAGGGCUGGCACUGGGAUGUUAAGCCCAAGUCCUGAGGGACUGGAGCCCUGCACUUACAUCCCUGUUGCUGCUGCUGCUGCUGCUGCUGCCCGUUACAAGUGGCCGUUGGGGCCAACAGCUCUGUGCCCAUGGCGGGGUUCUGGCUGGAACAGGCUCCUGGACCCACAAGGCCAACUCCCGCUCUCUUGGUGUCCAAACCAAGGAUCAAACUGCUGCCUUUUGCCCCUGGGAAGCACAAAGCCUCCAAAGCCAAUCUAAACCUGGCUGUGUUUCUGGGUUGAAAUUUCCACCUUGUGUCAAAGGGACAAAUAUUAGCAGACCAAAAAGCAAGAGAUUAACCAUUUAAGAAUGCGAGCAGGAGCUCAUUCAGCAGUUCUGCCUACUCUGAGCUGUGGAUCUCUGUGACUGCGACAAUUCAUCACUUUCCAAACCAGGCUGAGCCCUGCAGUGAUGUCUGUGCCUCUCUGUCACUGUCAUUGGGAGGAGCUGGGGACAAAGUGCACGCAGCAGCUGACCCUCCCCAUCGCGCCGGCUGGCACUGGUAAGCCUGGGGGAGCACCUCCCUUUAUGAGUUAGCUGGAAGCACGUUGGUUGUUAUUUCCUUCUCUCAUCCUCUUUAAGGAAUGGGUACUGUGCUGGAAGACUUGUCUGGGUUGGUCUAUAUGUAUGGCUUUGGUGACUUGAAUACCUUUAGCAGUGCGGAGCAACAACCACGUUCAGGCUUUGAAUGUGACAAUGGAGAUCACAUGAGAGUGGCAGAGAAAGGCAAAUAAAAAGCUGUGGCAUAGCUUCUGCUGUUUCUUGUUGCCUUGCAGACUGAUCCCCUGGUUCUGCUAUAGGCCUGCAUGAGCCCAGGAGAGCCAUUUGAUUUGUGCCUGGCCCCUGUAAGAUAACACUUAGCGUUUGGUUGGAGGGAUUGGUGCUGUGAUAACCGGUCCUGAAAGACGGGAGUCCCAGAAAAUGGUAACAGCCUGGAAAAUGUUUUUCACAGCUGUCUUUUGGAGGGCAGGGUUGUGUGUGUGUGUGCAUGCCUGCCUUCAAGGAGGCUCAAAAGUAGAUUUGCUUUUCUUUGGUAGAAGAGAGUAAGGCAAAGGGGAAGCAAAACAAUGCUUGCUACCUCAUUUUAGCCUUUACACCUCGUCAGAAUCAGCCACUGUGUAUACAGAAAUAACGAGCUGUUGGAAGAUGCAGGUCUAUGACUGUCUUUGGGUUUUAGUGUUUCUGCUAUGCUGCUGCCAGCCUAUGUGCUUUACUGUAAUGAGCUCCCAUUCUUUGAGGGAUCGGAGUUUUCACCCUCUGGAGUGAGAACCCAUGCACUGGAGGACUCGGAGCCCCGGGCCUCGUCCUGUGCUCAAAGUAUAUGCAGCUUUACUGGCAGAGCCACGUUUGUAAGUGGCCUUUUAGUCUGCAUCUGUGCUAUGAAUGAAUUCAGGCGCUGGGGAUCCUCGGUGCACCCUCCUUCCCCAAACACUGUUCCUCAUUACAGCAGACAUACAACAACUUCUCAGACAGCUGGAAGGGCCCACCUUGCUCACAGGGGCCCACCCAGGAGCCUGAACAACCAAAGCACGCUCAGAGCCACCCGAAGGGCCUUGCCGACCAUGGGCAAGCACAGCCCGGAGCCUGAGAGGCCACGCACUCCCUUGGAGCUGUCACUGCUGCUUCUGUGUCUCUGCCAGAGCCCCACCUGGCACUGACACAUCCCCUCCUUGCUUGUCCAACCCCUCCCAGCCACUACGGGCAUUCCCCCAAGGAACGCAGCCACGCGUGGCUCUGUGGCUCUCGUUCUGUGUGUGCGUUUGCCCCCUCUGACACAACGGGAACAUUUCCCAGCCGUCCCUCCAGGAGCGCGGCGUUGCGCUGCCUCCCUCCCCGCUGCCUGCGGGAAACCGGAGAGAGGAGAACGACGCGCAGCUCCGAGCCGGAGGAAUUUUCAGAGCCUCGUGAGAAUACCACCGCACGGCAGUUCAUUUUUUAUCCCACGUCUCUGCCUCUUAAAACACUUGCUAGGGAAGCUGGAUGCCAGCGAGUCCCCAAGUCUGCGUACGCCACGUUUGUGAGGCUCUCGGCCGUGCCAGGGCUCGGGGCAGCCCCGAGUGGCCGCGGGCACAGAGCCCAGCCGGGCAGCGGCUCCCGGACGGACACGGCGAGCCCGUGUCGUAAGGACUCCCGUCUGGCCGGUUUCUUAAAAUAAACGGGCGAAGGGCAGAAAGGAUGCUGGAAGUCCCCGUGGGGGUCGCUGAGCAGUCCUUUGUGAUCGCGAAAGCCGCUCUCCCCGCCGCCCCUCCGCGGCAAACGAGGAGCGAGGCGACUUCCAAAGCGAAACGCUGCCCCGCCGCUCAGCCCGCGGCUCGCACGGAGCAAAGCCCCGCCGCGGGCAGCCGAAGUCACGUCUGUACAAACCACCCACCGGCAUCCCCCUGCCGAGCACCUGCCCUCGCACCCCGCACCCCGCUCCCGGCGCCGCACUUACGGGGUCCCGCGUCCCGCUGCCUCCGGAGGAGCGGAGCUGGAAGCGGCGCUGCGGGGCGGCCGGGACGGCUGCGGGCAGCUCCACGCUCGCGGCUUCCUCGCGCCGGGAGCCGCUAAAUGAAGUUGCACUUGUGGGGCCGAGGGGCGUGUUCUGCUCCCCGCCGGGUGAGUCCCUGCCUGCUGUAAUCCAAUGCUCGGCCCGAUGAUGUCAAGCAGCCGCCGCUCGGCUCCUACCUUACAGGCGGCGGGAGGGAUCCGUUUCCUCCUCGCGGGGAUCUUUGUUUAGCUUUGCAUUGUAACCUCAUCUCCCGGCAGCUGCGUGCGCCCGAACAUCCUUCCUUCGGUGCGCAGCUCCGGCUGCCGGGCGCUUCCUCGCCGUGCCCCAGCUGUCCGGCAGUGCCGGCUGCCCCGCACCGCCCCGCACCGCCCCGCCGCCCUGAGCCCUCUCUCGGGGCCGUGGCCUCCAUCGCACGCGAACUGUCCCGCAGGGAGCUAUCUAUGUGCGCGUGUUUCCGGGAUGCUUUUUGCACUGCGAAAAGCGUGCCCCGUGCCGGGUGAAACUCAGAGCUGGUGACGGUACUUUAACGUGAGGGGAAGGUGUUUGGGGCAGGGCAGCCCGGCGUGCCGAGAACCUGCCUCUGUGCCCACCCUGCUGGCAGGGCUCACAGCCGGGGGGGGAGGAAGUUCUGCCUAGGAGUGUCUCCUUGAGUGGUGUCACCUCUGUGUGCCCCAGCUGCCUGGGAGAUGGCAGCAGGUGACAGAGUUACGCACAGCUGAUGGCAGCGCAGUGUCCCCCGUCCUCUUCCAGCACAGCCCUCCCGAUAGCGGGCAGCUGCAAGCACCCAAGUGGGGCAGGUGCUUCCUCCUGCUUUGCUGGCCCAGCCUGGAACCAGGACUCAAUAGCCCUAAGUGCUUGGCCAGCAGAAUGAAGGAUGUGUCUUUUCCUGCUGUAAGGAUGCUAUGAGCCUUGCAAAUGGGAGAAUAAGUACGCAUAAACUUGGCUGGAGAGACCUCAUCUGUCUCUGCUGGAGGCAGGGGAGGUCUGAUUUCAGGCUGAGCGCACAGCUGACACCUUGCAGGGCACCACGCAGGUCCUGCAGGAGCCCUUCUGCUGCUGUCUGCCACCAGCCCUCUCCUCUUGGCCCGGUGCCGCGUGCCUGCAAGCUGCCGCUGGUGGCAGAUGCCCACACCCUGCCAUCACAUGCAGGAAGAGAUAAAAAUACCAACAAAAGCAGUCAGCAGCGCAGGAAACGCCCUCACAGCUCCAAGGAGGCACUGACGAAAGGGAAAAGACCUCAAUGAGGCAAAAUCCCCCGCAGUCCGUGCAGCCGCGCUGACCUACAGCUCCACCUCUCGAUUCUGCUCGAUUGUAUUUCACAGUCAGCACCAGGAAGCCAGUUUGAUUUCCAGAGGAGUAUCAUUUGAUGGAAACUAAUCUCUCUGCCGCUCCCUUGGGUCAUGCAUUAUUACUCACUCGGUGGUGGUGGCGGGGAUCUUGCUGCUGGUCCUCUCUGGACACGAGAGAUGGGGUGGCUGCAGCCUCGGGGACAGCUCAGCUGCCUCAGAGGAGCUGAAGAGUUCUGUGCUCCCUCCAGUUCGUAUCUGAAUGUGAUCCAGAAGGAGGACGCUUGGAGCACAGGGCCUAGAGGCCAGACCUCGUGAAAUACAAAUGCCACCACGCCAGCAGUGGUGCAGGCUGCCUUUUCGUGGUGACUGCAUUGCCACGCAUGCAGUAUGCAGCUAACAGCAAAGCACUUCGGAAAUUCAGGAGAGCAGUAUGUGGACUUUAUAGAUGAGAUAUCUACUAUGAGUCGUAUUCAAACCUCCCAGCCCUGUGCCUGGCCCUGGGGAUAACCCCAGAGCACUGAUCAGGAGCCCCUUCCCCCCCUCCUCACCCCCACUACUUGGCCUCGCAGCGCUCUCCUCCUCCGGGACCUCCCCCACAAGGACUGACUGAAUGUUUUCCACUGGAAGCAGAAAAAUGCAUUUGGGGAUUAAACUGUGUUUUCUACAGAGCGCAUCUUUUUUUCCACAGGGGAAAAAUAUGCCACGAGACGCCGACCGUUUUUCAGUUUGCCUGAAAUCUUAACGUAUUAGGAUAAAAAUGCAUCGUGUUUGAUGUGUUCGUUCUGGCUCUUUUUAAAUGAGAGUUGUCGUUUUUAUCUGGAAAUCCACUCCAGCUUCUGACUGAAGGUUUCCCAUCUCUUGUCCUUUGUACAGCAUACCAGAGGCUUUGGCAUUAGACACCCUGGGAUGCUCACUGCAGUAAGAGGAUGUUAUAGGUGCCUGACAUGGCCUGCUCUGGAUGGCAGACUGUACUACAGGGUUGAGCAGACCCAGCUAAAGCCUCAACCAGCCUUUUGUGGCUUUCUGUACUUUCCUAUGGCUUUUACUCCAGCUGAUUUACCUGCUCGUCUUGGCUGAGCUUCUUGCUGCCCCUUGCAUCCAGCUGCUCUAUGCUGUGCCGCUCUGCGUCAUCCUGGGCUGGCAUUAAUGGCAUUGCCUCUGAACAAGGGGGUGUUUGGCCUUGCUCUGUUGUACUGGUGCUGCUGAUCUGCAGAGGAUUGCAGUGAUGUUAUAUUUGUGGCUCUUUGAGGCUCUGCAUCAGGGUGGGAUGGAGAUGGCACUAAGAAGGGAUGGGACUGUGAUGCCAUGUGGGUACCCAUCCACUGCCCUGCAGUGAGGAGCAAGCAGUUGUUCACGGAACAGUUCCCAGGAGUGGGACAAAGAGAAAUCCCAUAGGGUAGAUCCCAGGGUGUCUGAGAGUAUCCCUGAGGAUUCUUACAUAGAGUAAACAAUCCCUGGAACAGCACUGUGGUGCUGGUCACGUUCUGCAUGUCCCAGUGAGGAAAACCAUCAACACAAAGGUCUACCCAGGGAGCUCCAAACCCAAGCACCAAGCUGUCAUUGCAGGAUGCUCUGACCUGCUUUUCACCUGACCGUUUUGCAGCCUGAGCCUCGUGUCCCUCCUAAGGCAGUGCUGGCACAGCCCUCCUCUUGCAUGGCUGAGCCUCCUUGUGCAAGCACAGCUUUCCAUGGCACUUCCCAGGUGCUGAGCUGUCCGUGUUACUUGAUGUCAUCGAGAUUGCCAGGAAAUGUAGAAUGGCACAAGUUAGACGUGGAAAAAAUGCGGUGCACUGAUUUCUUCCACCCCCAAAAACGAAUGCUUUGAAUAAACUUUGGACUGAAAAAUGCAAGGCGUGUUCCAACAGUCUGCUGGGUUCCCUCAGGAAAGUGCAGAUGUUUCAAGCCAGCCAGUGACAUCUUGCACUUAGAGUCACGAGAAGAAGAGACACCGGCAGGUAAAGCAGAGCCAGUGCCAAGCUCUCUUUUCACUGUCACAGGAAGGACACUUGCAGUAGAUUAAGGCGAGUGGGUGUUGCUGUGCCUCAAUGAGUUAUCCACGUUCAGACCAAUUUUGUUGUUACCGAAGUUGUUAACCCAGAAAGGUUCAUCAUCAAGAAGUGGGACUCAGAAAAGCCUUAACGAGGCCAAGCUCAUUAGCACAGCUCCCCCAGGACCUGGAGUCCAGGCUGGUGCUGAGCAGCGUGGCUGGAUGGGGGGCUGUGGUGCCAGCAGGGCAAAGCGUGCUCAAAAACUGUUUGCUUUGAGCUGCAGCUAUUUUUGCCUCCAGUAAUCUGUGCAGAGAUGAUAAAGCUUUGCAGUGCAAAGUGAGAGGCUGUGCGGUGCCUCUGGGCAAUUUCACUUCAUGAGCUGCUCUCAGCCCUUCCCAGCCACUGCAGAACGUUAUCUCUGUGCCCGCUGAGCCAGACUCCUCCGAGGGCUCACCCCAAUGGGAUCACAGAUUGGACCCAGAUUACUUUUUUUUUUUCCCCUAGGGAAUGCAUUCAGUUUGGAAAGUGAAGAAAACUUUUUUUUUUUUUUUCCCUAGUCUCCAAAGUUUGUUUAAAAGCCUUUGCAGAAAGCAAAUCUUGGCCGGGAGCCUUGAACCACUCAUGUCUGCAGAACUCCUUCCAACCAAAGGCUCUUGCAGAAUAAGUCACUGGAUGGUUACCUCUCUGCAGCAGCAAGAAAUACAAGUAGGUCUCAAAGUCGGACCAUGCAGUGGUAGCACCACCCCAUACCAUGUUGUACCCACGAGGUUCCCCCAGCCCGUUUCAGUCUCCCCCGUAUGCUCUAUAUAAGAAGCACUUUACCUGCUGCUAUCAGGAGAAACCGUGGCAGCCAUAGCAGACUACAAAACAGGCAUAAAUCCUGCUUGCUAAGGGAUUUGUUUGUCUAAAAGAAUCCAGAACCUUCUUCAGUAUAAACCCACAGAGGUCAUGCAUCCAGCACAUGCUUCACCAGAAAGUCAUCCCCCUGGCCAAAGCCUUCUUGUUUUGUGAUGGGAGUGGAUAGCAGUGCAGGGAGGGGGAAAUAUGCAAGUAUGAAAUAGGGCUCAUUCUGCUUGCCCAGAGAGUGUGGAUACACAGAAAGGGCUAAAAACAACCGAUGGGAUGAGCAGGUACAGCUGCCCAGGUGUUACUGCAUGGGAAGCAGGUGUCCCUCAGAGGCGUUCCUUCCUUUUGUCCCUCUGUUCCUGCUGGAUGGCACAGCUGGAUGAGCACAGGCAGCAGGCCGGGUUGGCACCUGCACUUCUUGCUUCUGGAGAGCAAAGGGGUGCGCUGAUAGGUGAGAAGUCAUCUCUGCCAGCUUUGAACAAGAUUUGUUAAGGGCACCCAACCAUCACAUCGUUUCACAGUGUUUGGCAGCCAGAUGAGGAUUCCUGCUGCAGAUGUGCAGAAGGCCUGUAAAUAUUUUGAUCCUUACUUGUGCUUUCACGUGGUUUUGUUGCAGGGCUCAGUACGGGGUGCUGACUGGUCCCGUUGUGAGGCAAAGGGCUGCAGUCCUCAAGCUUUGCCCUGUGCAUCCACACUGGACCUAAGGGCAGAAAGGCUUCAGCCUGCCCUCCUGGCGCAGGUCCCUGCUUUCUGUGUCGAAUGGAGAAGGGGUGCAGGGGCCGAAUGCCUUCUUAUUGAGCAGCAGCUGAUGCAGCAGGCAGGGUGAGCUCAGCAAAGCCAUUCCCACGUCCUGAGCAUCCCCUGCCCUCAGGCAGGAUGGACUUAGCUCCUCUGGAGGCCACCGGGGCUGUGAGCAGGAGGCACAGUGUCCCUGCAAUUUGCUCCAAGAGGGCUCCGUGUUCCAGACAGGGAACAGAAUAUUCUGUCUGUGCUAUGCCGUCUUUUAAACAUGUAGUGUGAAGAGAGAUAGGAAAAAUUCUAAACGUUAUUAUCGUCUUCAUGUUGUAGUGAAGUAUGAAGCACACGUAUUUCUUCCAGUCUUCUAGUUCCUUACCAUCAGCUCUGGGUUCAUUUGCUGUAUCUGUUUCAGAUCCUUUCCCUCUCCCAGAGUUGGGCUGUUUGUUUUCUUUCCACUGGGGUGCAGUUUUCACUUUUAUGCAGGACUGCAGCUUUCCGGGCACAGUGUUUGCUGGUUUCAUGCAGUUCCCAGCUGUCACUCACUUCUGGAGAUUAAAUCAUUUCCUUUCGUGCCAACCCUCAAGUAGUGGUUUUCUGCUUUGUAAAACUUGGCCUGAUAAAGCAUUGAGUAUCUUUAUUUAGACUGUCCAUUGCAAGUAUAGUCUAGCAAUGAUGUUUAAAUAGACACCAGCUUUCUCAAGCUGUACACUCAAACUCUAUCUCCGUUUGUGACCGGCUGGGUAUGUUGCAACCCACAGGAGUGACAGCCACCCCAUGGUAUUAUCUAGGUACUAUUUGGCCAUGCUGUGAAGGCACAUUCAGUCUGCACAACAGGCUCAGUGUCUGUGAAACACCCUUCCCAGGCUGGAUGUGGCUGCUGGAGUCUGAGCAGUGCUGAGCACGGGGAUGUGGCACCUCACUGCUGCGUGCAUUGCAGAAUUACAGCCCCAAAUGGCCUCAGCUCUCUUCAUUGCUAUGGCAACCUGCAGGCAUCGUGGUGUUUGGACAGGAGGUGUGUGCUUUCCAGCGGCACUGCAUGCCUUCCUGCAGAAAUGAGCAUUCAAACAGAGGAAUCAGGAGGGAAAAUCUUUUUUAUUUUGACUAAGAUGCCUCAUUAGUUAUUUAUCCAGGCCUCUAGGCACUGCAACGUAUCAUUACUAAUACAAUCACCUCUCAGCAGUCUUAAAAGGAUGAGCUCAACAAGAAUGCAGGCAGCUGGGCACUUAGAAACACUCCUUCGUGCCUCUUCAUCACCAUGGGAAGUUCAUCCUCAGCUCCGCAGCAGCUCUGCACACACUGCUCCCGAGCUGGAUGCAGAAGGUCACUGGCUUUUCAGUAGCUACACCAAGCUGGAAAGCAUGUUUGCAAACUGUUGCAUCACCGGCUAAUGAAAAAUUGUGCAGGGCUGAGAAAAAGGAUGAAUGGAAUAACAGAUCCCUUCAUUUGCAGGAAGCUUCAUUUGCAGGAAGGGUGAAAACAGCAACAACAAAACAACAAAACCAACAAUUUGCAGUUGACUAGAUCAAUUUAAAAUGCAAAAUUAGAGAAACUUCAUGAACUUGAUAUGGAAAAGCUGGAGGGAGCAACAGGUGAUCUUGCUGGCCCUGGGAAUGACAGCUUGCUGCAUGAUGACAGCCUGGCCCAAAGACAUGCAUAUGUGGAGACUUUGGUGUAUUUGGGGCUGUAAAGGGAGUUAUCACACACUGACUGAUAGCCACACUGUAUGGAGAAACCUCAUGCAAAGUAAUUCCUAAUCUGGAGUAAGCCACUGCAUGAUCUUUACCCCAGGAAUUAAUGUGGAGUGGCUUGCCUGCACUACAUUUAUCAUAAUUUGCAACAUACCAACUUUGCAUGUAAAUGGGUCAGUUUGGAAGGGUUUAUGGCGUGCUUAUCGCUGUUUAUUCAUCACUCCUUCAAGCUGGGAGUCCCCUAGAGACCAAACCACUGAACACUGACUCCUGGCUAUGGAUACUGCCCAGCAGGAGCCACAACCUGGUGCUGGCAUCAGCGCUGUCAGUGAUGGCAUCCAAACCAAGAUGUGUUUGGGAAGCAGUCAGGAGUCAUUUCUCAUCAAUCAGCUUUUUUCAGUUGGGUUCAUUUAGUUCCAAGCUGGGUAAUUACUGUCUUUGUACAAUGAAGAAAAGACUGCAAGCCAGGCAGAAUAAUUCCUCCUGUUACUGAUGCCAAGAUGUGAUUGCAUAUCUGUGCCAUACGGAAUGUGUUACGGUGUCAAUUUUAUUAACAGUAAAUAAUGGCUCUUCACUUAAGCAGUAUCUUAGCUUUCUCUGGCUCCUAAGCAUAAAAAACAAACCAAAUUUCAGUCCCUGCAGAUAACGAGCAGAGGGGGGACACGGAGGACUCCACAUCCACACUGACAGCAGCACGUCCACUUCUGUUUUGCUUUGAUGACUGUUGCAUGAAAUUAAGGAAACCAAUCCCAAAUAAACUCUGGACAAACAGCUUUGGAGAUACUCGUGAGAGCUGUGCUGCUGGCUGUCGAGGCACAGGGCUUUGCAUGAGUCCCUAAAAACAUGGUAAUAAAUAGAGUUGUAUUAACAAACUUUUUAAGCAAUUCUUUAGAGUCUGACAAAAAACCAAAAAACCUCCCAAUACCUCUCAAGAGCAGUAAAUUUGAAACUGAGCUAUUACUUUUAUUACAGGAACAUAAUUCUGACACUGAAAUGCCAGCGGAAGCCAAGACCUGCAAGGUGCCUUGCUCUAGCUUUCUAUGCCCACGUUGAAUGCUGCAGUAACUCACCCUGUAAGCUUGAAUUCAUGUGAACUUGUAGUGAAGGCCUGGUGUUCCCAAGCAUGCUCUGCAGCAGGUCGUCAGUGUGUGGGAUGCCUUGAUAAGCCAUUACACACCACUCGGUUCCUGCUGUCCCAAGCGUUAGGCUGGGUGCUGCUUCUGCACCGAGUGCACGUGGGCUCCUUGAGUGCUGAGCCUUGACAGCCCCUGCCCAGUGCUGCCCGUGGGAAAUGGCUCGAUUUAGCCUCUUCAAGCAAAGCCUUAUUGAAAGCAAUAAUGUGACAAGAGAUGGGUAUUGUAUUAUUAGAUUCCCCUAGGGUAUAUAUAUAUAUUUUUUAAAUCAUCUAGGAUGGGAAAAACAUUUAUAUAAAGAAGAAUGUCAUGACUCACUUUCCAAAGCCACAGAGAUUCAAAGCAACCAGAAAAGAGUUAACAGCACGGCCACCCCCCCGCAGUAUUCCAGAAUUUCUAAAUACAGAAUUCCUUUUAGAUUUGGAUGCCCAUUUCUGUUAUCUUAGAAGUAUUUCUGGAACUCAUGGCCUGACUCUUGGCCAGCUUUAAACAAACAAACAGGGAGAAAUAUUUGCGUAGAUAACGUGGUGUUUGGUUAAUGAGUCCAAGCUGAAGGAUUUCAUUAUUAUGUUUGAUUUCUUUAAUGUUUGUGAACCAAAGGAAAAAAAAAAAAGGCUUUGCGUGCCAAAUCACAGCCAUUCCAGCUAUUGGCUUGGAAUAACUAUCAUUCAACUUAGCAAAUAUCAAACGUGGGAAGGGAUUUAUCUGACGCAUCUAUAUGAUCAUGUGAACUCCUUCCCCAAGGAGAAACAGUCUCUGCUGGAGACUCAAGAGGAAGGAACUUUUUUCUCUUCUUAAAAAAAUAUAUAAAAAUACAACAACAACAUAAGAAGCCACUGUUACAUGCUAACUGCUUCCUGGCUCAAGUGCAAAAAUGCAACCUCUGAAAUGUCAGCUGGUAUGCUGGGAGGAUUCACAUGAUGUCAAAGAAUGAUGAUAGAAUAACAUCUUGCCAGUUUCACAACCUCUUCUUGGAAAGCAGAAGCACUGGUGUGGGGAACAGUGGAAAAGGAGGGCAAACACCAGCUAAAAGAAAUGUCUAUGGCCAGCACGAUCCUACACUGUUCUUUAUUGUGAGAAGAGACCGGGUCAGGCACUCAUCUGACUUUGAAGGCAACACUCAGGUGGUUAAGUCAGUUCAGACCAUGCUGAGGACAGCCCUGGCCAUGCUGUAUGCUUCUGCAUGCUGCUGACUCGCAGCCCCACUGUGCAGCUGCUCACACUGUGAGGCUGUGCCCCAAGUAAUGUCCCAACAGCAGCUGCUCAUUUGGGCUCUGCAUUCUCCUCUCUGGGAAAAUGAGCAGGCACGGUGCUGGGGUUUGCCUGUUUCUCACCUACUGACUUGCGUGGUCCUGUGGCUCACCUGAAGCUGCACAGCUCAUCGCUGCUACAGGCAGGAUUAAACCUAGAAAUUCCUGACUUUUCCUUCCCCUGGUGUUUCACUGGAUGUUGUGCCACGGUGAUCGCUGACCCAACAGGGCUGCCCAGCUGGAUCUCACUGUGGGCUUCGUGGGGGAGAGGGGGUCGCAGAGAGAGGGAAGUCUUGGUUUAAUGAAAAACAUAUAUCUGGAGAGGAAACAGCACAGAAAUAUCUGCAGCAAUAAAUCUGGCAACGUUGGUAAGCCUGUUUGUGCAGUGCUCAAAUAGGAGAUCAACUUGCUUCGUGUACAUCCACUUUUGAAGUGGCUACUUAAAAGCAGGACCUUUGAUGCCCUGCACAGCUCGAGGUGCUCUACCAGUAAAACCAAGCCCAGCUCAGCCCUGAUGAGGAACAGGGAGCUGACACCUGGCUCUGUGCUAAACAGUCUCGCUUGCAGGGAUGGGAAAUGCGCCCAGCUCCAGCAGCUGCUCUCUGGCUGCAAGGCUCCUCCUGGGACAGCUGCUAGCAGCAGUGUCGGAGCAGGGCUCUGGCUGCCCCAGAGGGCUUGCAAGAGCUGUGAUGGCCCUUCUGUGCAAGAUCCUGUUCCCCAAAGGGCAACAUCCCAU